rnacentral:rRNA from 1 species
AUUGAACGCUGGCGGCAGGCUUAACACAUGCAAGUCGAGCGGGGGAAGGUAGCUUGCUACCGGACCUAGCGGCGGACGGGUGAGUAACGCUUAGGAGUCUGCCUAUUAGUGGGGGACAACAUCUCGAAAGGGAUGCUAAUACCGCAUACGUCCUACGGGAGAAAGCAGGGGAUCUUCGGACCUUGCGCUAAUAGAUGAGCCUAAGUAGGACUAGCUAGUUGGUGGGGUAAAGGCCUACCAAGGCGACGAUCUGUAGCGGGUCUGAGAGGAUGAUCCGCCACACGGGGACUGAGACACGGCCCAGACUCCUACGGGAGGCAGCAGUGGGGAAUAUUGGACAAUGGGGGGAACCAUGAUCCAGCCAUGCCGCGUGUGUGAAGAAGGCCUUAUGGUUGUAAAGCACUUUAAGCGAGGAGGAGGCUACUCUAGUUAAUACCUAGGGAUAGUGGACGUUACUCGCAGAAUAAGCACCGGCUAACUCUGUGCCAGCAGCCGCAGUAA